GACGAACGCUGGCGGCGUGCCUAAUACAUGCAAGUUGAGCGCUGAAGGUUGGUACUUGUACCAACUGGAUGAGCAGCGAACGGGUGAGUAACGCGUGGGGAAUCUGCCUUUGAGCGGGGGACAACAUUUGGAAACGAGUGCUAAUACCGCAUAAAAACUUUAAACACAAGUUUUAAGUUUGAAAGAUGCAAUUGCAUCACUCAAAGAUGAUCCCGCGUUGUAUUAGCUAGUUGGUGAGGUAAAGGCUCACCAAGGCGAUGAUACAUAGCCGACCUGAGAGGGUGAUCGGCCACAUUGGGACUGAGACACGGCCCAAACUCCUACGGGAGGCAGCAGUAGGGAAUCUUCGGCAAUGGACGAAAGUCUGACCGAGCAACGCCGCGUGAGUGAAGAAGGUUUUCGGAUCGUAGAACUCUGUUGGUAGAGAAGAACGUUGGUGAGAGUGGAAAGCUCAUCAAGUGACGGUAACUACCCAGAAAGGGACGGCUAACUACGUG
rnacentral:rRNA from 1 species